UUUUUUUUUUUCAUUUCUCUCAUUUAAUCCUUACCACAACUCUGAACAAAGUAAGUGUUUAUAUUCCCAUUUUCACAGAUGAAGAAACUAUGGCUCAAAGAGAAUAAAUGAUUUUCCCAAGAUCACAGAGCACCCUUAAGGCAAAGCUGAGAUUUGAAGCUACACGCCUACAGGCUUACCAAGUCUACAGGCUUUUCCACUACCUCACACUAGAUUUCCCUCUACCUUGUUUUAUUCAUUACUGAAUCUCCACUUAACUCAGUCCAUUGAAUCGCAUUAUACUGAGCCACACACUGAACAGAUGAACAACCUGGAAAGACAACCAAACAGAAGAACAAGGUGCAAAUGGAAAACUUGGACAAUAGACACAGGUAGGAAGGAAGGAAAGAAGGCAGGCAGGCAGACAAGCAGCAGCAACAUCAAUCCCAACAAAAUUUUGGAGCCCUAGUUGAUAAGGCAAGAACUUAUGGUUACUAAAAGGGACGGGGGGGCGGAAGGGUGGAGGGAGUGGGGUCUAGGACUGGCAUUGCACACUGAGGUAAUACGGAACGAUGGGCCGAAGCAGACCUGCUACACAGCACAGAGAACUCUAUUCAGUAUUCUGUGACAGUCAUUGUGGGAAAAGAAUCAGAGAGAACAGAUGUGUUUUAUAUAUGACUGGGUCACUCUGCUGUACAGCAGAAAUCAUCACAGCCUUGUAAACUAACUAUACGUCAAUAAAACUUUUUAGAAAAGUAUAGACUAGCCAAAACUCAUGUUGCCAGAUCUCCAUUUCUAAAUUGUACCUCUUCCUCAGCCAGCCCCAGCAGAGUGCCUUGUAAAAUAGUGCCCAGUCAGGUCCACAUCACAAAUGAAUUCCAAUAAGCAAUGCAUUCUCUCCCUGAGGCCUUCCAACUCUUACAAAACCACCAGGAACUGAAGAAAUCUUCUGUUCUCCAUCUGAACAACUUACCUACAAACCCUUGGUGGUAAAGGGAAAUUGGGUUUAAGAAACAGAUGGGGAGUUUCUGAAUUAGAUUUUUUCAUAGGAGCGUUUUCAUUUAAUCCUGAAAAAGAAUCCUUUGACUUAAGUAUUAUUGGCUGCCUCCCUUCCUUUUUUUUUUUUUUAACCACCAAGUAAAGUGAGAAGCAAAGAUCUCACAACUAAAAAGUAAAUGGAAAAAAGAAGAGGAGGCAGAUUUCAAACUCAGACCUUCUAUUUCAACUCUCUGAACCCUCAAUUUCCUCAUCUGCAAAACGGAAAUGUUAUCUGUCUUCAAGCAUCAAUGUAGGAACUACAGGCACAGCACUCAGUUCAGUGGCUGCUCCUCAAUAAACAUUACUUUUUUCCUUUUUUCUUUCAUGCACGAAAUGUCUGGUUUGUUGGCUUAUUUCCAAACAAGUACCAACUUUUAAAAUUUACAUCUUCCUUCACUCUCUUAUUAACUGCUUUUGUCUUGGUCCUCACAAGAAUGUCCAUAACAAGAUGUGACCUGGGAUAUCCUGGGAGCACUUCUGGCUCACCUAGCAGCUGGGACACUUUCAGCAGAGCUCUUUUUGCUCAGCAACUUACAUAGAGACUACUUCCUCUCUUCAAUUCUCCCUUAGACAACAGACACAUAUGCAGGUGGAAAAAAAAUUUCAAGCCAUAAUUAACUUAAUUAACAUACAGUGACAGAAAUAGAAAAAGCCACAGUGUUCUAGCCAGGCAGCAGGCUGAAGGGGAAGCAAGAAUUCUCUGGCAGGCAAAGUGAGAGGAGAAAUAAGUAUCUACUAGAGAGGAAAAGGAGUCACAGCCAUGUGGUGGGAACUAGGGACUGUCUAAAGUGGAUGGUCAGCACUACCCACUGGGACCCUCAUCCCUAGUCCUCAGGUUGGUCAGGUGCCCCUGACUUAGCAAACUAGAACACGCACCAGACGAAAGUCUGAUU
ensembl:lncRNA